AGUGCUGAGCUUGGUGUCCCACCGCCGCAAGAAGGCAGGGAAGAAACCCACUAGUCCCAGCUCCUGGGGUGGCACAGACAUUGCAACUGGCCCUGCCUGUGGGUCCUAGGGGCCCUUGGCCACCAGGAGGCUAAGAACACUGCUCAUGAAUGACAGCGAGCCCUGAAAGCUCUGGGGGUGCCACCCAGUCCCACAAGCCUGCAUCCCCUGCAGUGGAGAUGGGCUCAGCUCCUGGACGUGCCACAGACAGAAAGCAUAACAUACGCUCGCCAGGAAGAGCCUUUGCCUGACUCAGGGCAGCUCAGAGUGUGGGGCAGAAGGUGACCAGCCAGCUCAGGGCAGGAGAUGCAGAGCACAGCCAAUUACCUGUGGCACACAGACGACCUGCUGGGGCAGGGGGCCACUGCCAGUGUGUACAAGGCCCGCAACAAGAAAUCCGGAGAGCUGGUUGCUGUGAAGGUCUUCAACACCACCAGCUACCUGCGGCCUCGCGAGGUGCAGGUGAGGGAGUUUGAGGUCCUGCGGAAGCUGAACCACCAGAACAUCGUCAAGCUCUUUGCGGUGGAGGAGACGGGGGGAAGCCGGCAGAAGGUACUGGUGAUGGAGUACUGCUCCAGUGGGAGCCUGCUGAGCGUGCUGGAGAGCCCUGAGAACGCCUUUGGGCUGCCUGAGGAUGAGUUCCUGGUGGUGCUGCGCUGUGUGGUGGCCGGCAUGAACCACCUGCGGGAGAACGGCAUCGUGCAUCGCGACAUCAAGCCCGGGAACAUCAUGCGCCUCGUGGGGGAGGAGGGGCAGAGCAUCUACAAGCUGACAGACUUCGGGGCCGCCCGGGAGCUGGAUGAUGAUGAGAAGUUCGUCUCGGUCUACGGGACUGAGGAGUACCUGCAUCCCGACAUGUAUGAACGGGCGGUGCUUCGAAAGCCCCAGCAAAAAGCGUUCGGGGUGACUGUGGAUCUCUGGAGCAUUGGAGUGACCUUGUACCAUGCAGCCACUGGCAGCCUGCCCUUCAUCCCCUUCGGUGGACCCCGGCGGAACAAGGAGAUCAUGCACCGGAUCACCACAGAGAAGCCGGCUGGGGCCAUUGCAGGUGCCCAGAGGAGGGAGAACGGGCCCCUGGAGUGGAGCUACACCCUCCCCAUCACCUGCCAGCUGUCACUGUGAGUGGGACCCUGCUGGGGGGGUGAUGCUGGAGUCUGAGCCGGGUAUCACUUCUCUCUGCUGAGCCAAGACUUCUCAGGCCUGUUCCAGCAGGUUCCGGGCAUGCUGCAGGCUUGGGCACACCACUUUCCCAUCUGGAUGCUGGAACGAGUUCUUCCAGCUCUUCCUCCCCAACCCACCCUGCCCCACCAUCUUGGUCCUAGCUCUUCAGGACAUUCUCUUAGAAUGCUCCUAUUGCCUGCUUAAGGAGGAUAGGUCUGGGCCCCCGCCCCUGACAGUCUCCAUGUCCUGGGAGGGCAGGGGGCUGCAGAGCCAGCUGGUGCCCAUCCUGGCCAACAUCCUGGAGGUGGAGCAGGCCAAGUGCUGGGGCUUCGACCAGUUCUUUGCGGAGACCAGUGACAUCCUGCAGCGAGUUGUCGUCCAUGUCUUCUCCCUGUC
rnacentral:sRNA from 1 species